rnacentral:rRNA from 1 species
GAUGAACGCUGGCGGCGUGCCUAAUACAUGCAAGUCGAGCGAACCUACGAGGAGCUUGCUCCUCUGACGUUAGCGGCGGACGGGUGAGUAACACGUGGAUAACCUACCUAUAAGACUGGGAUAACUUCGGGAAACCGGAGCUAAUACCGGAUAAUAUAUUGAACCUCAUGGUUCAAUCGUGAAAGACGGUUUUGCUGUCACUUAUAGAUGGAUCCGCGCCGCAUUAGCUAGUUGGUAAGGUAACGGCUUACCAAGGCAACGAUGCGUAGCCGACCUGAGAGGGAGAACGGGCAGAUGGGAAGAGAGAAAGGGUACAGACACAGACGCGAGGAAGCAGUAGGGAAUCUUACGCAAGGGGGGAAAGCGGGAUGUAGCAAAGCGGCGUGAGGGAUGAAGGAGUCAGGAUGGGAAAACGAUGUAAGUAGGGAAGAAGAAAUAUUUAAGUACCGAGGAACGUAAUGACGGUACCUAAUCAGAAAGCCCCGGCUAACUACGUG